rnacentral:tRNA from 1 species
GGAGGAGAAGUCUAGCCAGGUUUGACGCCUCGCUCAAGACGAGGCGGCGCCCACACGCCAUGCGAGUUCGAAUCUCGCCUCCGCCG